rnacentral:rRNA from 1 species
AGCGAACGCUGGCGGCAGGCCUAACACAUGCAAGUCGAGCGGGCCCUUCGGGGUCAGCGGCAGACGGGUGAGUAACGCGUGGGAACGUACCCUUAGGUUCGGAACAACUCCGGGAAACUGGAGCUAAUACCGGGUACGCCCUUUUUGGGGAAAGAUUUAUCGCCGAAGGAUCGGCCCGCGUCUGAUUAGCUAGUUGGUGAGGUAACGGCUAACCAAGGCAACGAUCAGUAGCUGGUCUGAGAGGAUGAUCAGCCACACUGGGACUGAGACACGGCCCAGACUCCUACGGGAGGCAGCAGUGGGGAAUAUUGGACAAUGGGCGCAAGCCUGAUCCAGCCAUGCCGCGUGAGUGAUGAAGGCCCUAGGGUUGUAAAGCUCUUUCACCCACGACGAUAAUGACGGUAGUGGGAGAAGAAGCCCCGGCUAACUUCGUGCCAGCCGCCGCCGUAACAC